UUAAGUGACUAAGCGUACACGGUGGAUGCCUAGGCAGUCAGAGGCGAUGAAGGGCGUGCUAAUCUGCGAAAAGCGUCGGUAAGGUGAUAUGAACCGUUAUAACCGGCGAUACCCGAAUGGGGAAACCCAGUGUGUUUCGACACACUAUCAUGUCAUGAAUACAUAGUGGCAUGAGGCGAACCGGGGGAACUGAAACAUCUAAGUACCCCGAGGAAAAGAAAUCAACCGAGAUUCCCCCAGUAGCGGCGAGCGAACGGGGAGGAGCCCAGAACCUGAAUCGGCUUGUGUGUUAGUGGAAGCGUCUGGAAAGUCGCGCAGCAAAGGGUGAUAGCCCCGUACACUAAAAUGCACAGGUCGUGAGUUCGAUGAGUAGGGCGGGACACGUGACAUCCUGUCUGAAUAUGGGGGGACCAUCCUCCAAGGCUAAAUACUCCUGACUGACCGAUAGUGAACCAGUACCGUGAGGGAAAGGCGAAAAGAACCCCGGCGAGGGGAGUGAAAUAGAACCUGAAACCGUGUACGUACAAGCAGUGGGAGCACCUUCGUGGUGUGACUGCGUACCUUUUGUAUAAUGGGUCAGCGACUUAUAUUUUGUAGCAAGGUUAACCGUAUAGGGGAGCCGUAGGGAAACCGAGUCUUAACUGGGCGAAUAGUUGCAAGGUAUAGACCCGAAACCCGGUGAUCUAGCCAUGGGCAGGUUGAAGGUUGGGUAACACUAACUGGAGGACCGAACCGACUAAUGUUGAAAAAUUAGCGGAUGACUUGUGGCUGGGGGUGAAAGGCCAAUCAAACCGGGAGAUAGCUGGUUCUCCCCGAAAGCUAUUUAGGUAGCGCCUCGUGAACUCAUCUUCGGGGGUAGAGCACUGUUUCGGCUAGGGGGCCAUCCCGGCUUACCAAACCGAUGCAAACUCCGAAUACCGAAGAAUGUUAUCACGGGAGACACACGGCGGGUGCUAACGUCCGUCGUGAAGAGGGAAACAACCCAGACCGCCAGCUAAGGUCCCAAAGUCAUGGUUAAGUGGGAAACGAUGUGGGAAGGCACAGACAGCCAGGAUGUUGGCUUAGAAGCAGCCAUCAUUUAAAGAAAGCGUAAUAGCUCACUGGUCGAGUCGGCCUGCGCGGAAGAUGUAACGGGGCUAAACCAUGCACCGAAGCUGCGGCAGCGACGCUUAGGCGUUGUUGGGUAGGGGAGCGUUCUGUAAGCCGUUGAAGGUGGCCUGUGAGGGUUGCUGGAGGUAUCAGAAGUGCGAAUGCUGACAUAAGUAACGAUAAAGCGGGUGAAAAGCCCGCUCGCCGGAAGACCAAGGGUUCCUGUCCAACGUUAAUCGGGGCAGGGUGAGUCGACCCCUAAGGCGAGGCUGAAAAGCGUAGUCGAUGGGAAACAGGUUAAUAUUCCUGUACUUGGUGUUACUGCGAAGGGGGGACGGAGAAGGCUAGGCUGGCCGGGCGACGGUUGUCCCGGUUUAAGCGUGUAGGGGGUGUGACCUGGUAAAUCCGGUUGCAUAUCAACCCUGAGGCGUGAUGACGAUGCACUACGGUGCAGAAGUAGUUGAUGCCCUGCUUCCAGGAAAAUCCUCUAAGCUCCAGGUAACAUUGAAUCGUACCCCAAACCGACACAGGUGGUCAGGUAGAGAAUACCAAGGCGCUUGAGAGAACUCGGGUGAAGGAACUAGGCAAAAUGGUGCCGUAACUUCGGGAGAAGGCACGCUGGCAUGUAGGUGAAGUCCCUUGCGGAUGGAGCUGAAGCCAGUCGAAGAUACCAGCUGGCUGCAACUGUUUAAUAAAAACACAGCACUGUGCAAACACGAAAGUGGACGUAUACGGUGUGACGCCUGCCCGGUGCUGGAAGGUUAAUUGAUGGGGUCAGCCGCAAGGCGAAGCUCUUGAUCGAAGCCCCAGUAAACGGCGGCCGUAACUAUAACGGUCCUAAGGUAGCGAAAUUCCUUGUCGGGUAAGUUCCGACCUGCACGAAUGGCGUAAUGAUGGCCAGGCUGUCUCCACCCGAGACUCAGUGAAAUUGAACUCGCUGUGAAGAUGCAGUGUACCCGCGGCAAGACGGAAAGACCCCGUGAACCUUUACUAUAGCUUGACACUGAACAUUGAGCCUUGAUGUGUAGGAUAGGUGGGAGGCUUUGAAGCGUGGACGCCAGUCUGCGUGGAGCCAUCCUUGAAAUACCACCCUUUAAUGUUUGAUGUUCUAACUCUGCCCCGUAAUCCGGGGUGAGGACAGUGUCUGGUGGGUAGUUUGACUGGGGCGGUCUCCUCCCAAAGAGUAACGGAGGAGCACGAAGGUUAGCUAAUCACGGUCGGACAUCGUGAGGUUAGUGCAAAGGCAUAAGCUAGCUUGACUGCGAGAGUGACGGCUCGAGCAGGUACGAAAGUAGGUCUUAGUGAUCCGGUGGUUCUGAAUGGAAGGGCCAUCGCUCAACGGAUAAAAGGUACUCCGGGGAUAACAGGCUGAUACCGCCCAAGAGUUCAUAUCGACGGCGGUGUUUGGCACCUCGAUGUCGGCUCAUCACAUCCUGGGGCUGAAGUAGGUCCCAAGGGUAUGGCUGUUCGCCAUUUAAAGUGGUACGCGAGCUGGGUUUAGAACGUCGUGAGACAGUUCGGUCCCUAUCUGCCGUGGGCGUUGGAAGAUUGAGAGGGGUUGCUCCUAGUACGAGAGGACCGGAGUGAACGCACCACUGGUGUUCGGGUUGUCAUGCCAAUGGCAUUGCCCGGUAGCUAAGUGCGGAAAAGAUAAGCGCUGAAAGCAUCUAAGCGCGAAACUUGCCUCAAGAUGAGUCUUCCCUGGGCCUUUAAGGCCCCUGAAGGAACGUUUAAGACUAAGACGUUGAUAGGCUGGGUGUGUAAGUGCAGCGAUGCAUUGAGCUAACCAGUACUAAUGAUCCGUGAGGCUUAACCU
rnacentral:rRNA from 1 species